rnacentral:lncRNA from 1 species
CGAGAUUUGAAUUUCCUAUAAUUUUCACAUCAUGAAAUAUUCUCCUUUUGAUUUUGUUCUCAACCAUUUAAAAAUGCUAAAAAAAAAAAAGAAACUUUCUUAGCUCAUGGGCCAUAGAAAAACAGGCACAAAAGGGAAAACUGUUGGGAGGAAAGUGGAACAAUUCACAUCUUCCUAGAAAAGUAAAUAAGGCCACAUUACCUUGGAGAGACUUUAGGCGAGAUAUCCAAGAUGAUAGGUUAUGGUAAAGAAUGGGAGAGAACAGAAUGAACCCCUGGAUGGAGUGGCUGGGGGGAAUGUCUUUGGGGAAACACUCUCUCCCUUCCAUGGGACCCACUAGAAUUGAACAUGGGGAAAUGAGGAGGGGUAGCAGGUCACUUUGAGAUGGAUCUUUAGGGGGUAUUGAGGAAACAUCCCUUUCCUCCAACCGUAGCAUCCUGUCCUCCCUGCCACCACAGAGGUGUCAGGAGCAGUGCAUUGUGAUGCCCAAGCCACUUCAACAUUACCAUUGGCCAGGGGAGCUCCUGAGCAAACAAAGCUGAAGGGUGUGGCUCCUCACUGGUCAGAAGCCUGGCCAGGAGCCGUGGGGUAGACCACUAGGAGGCUUAAAUAAGGCUGGUAAGAUCUGCACACCAGAGGAGCCUUAUAUAAGUAUGAAACGAUCAAAGAGAAGCAUGAAACAGCCAGCCCCAAGAACCAAAAGAAAGAAGGGGAAGAAGACUUCCUGUCAACCCAAGACCAGGCACGGCGGCAAGGCGCAGAAGAAAACCAAGAAGACAAAAAGACCCCUUCGAAGGAAUGUGAAAAACAAACCGCCUCAGUCAUCCCCCUCCUGUUUGAGAAUGCCUCACAGAAGAGUAAGGCCAACUAUAUUCAUCUGCUACCACAAGCUGAACAAGACACCGAGUGAGAAUGAGCAGAGCAGGAACAAGAAACACUGGAAACUCCAACCAUUCCAAAUAACAUCUUGUGCGGCCAGUAAAUGCAGAGCCUGGGCCAGAAACGUAGAAUCAGCUACGGCAUAUUGUGAAGUGGCUAUAGAGAACUGUUCGGACACCUAGGGGCCAGAUCUAGACCAACAAGGUACACAGACGUUGAUAAAAAUGAAAACAAGUUGUGAAAAGGAGCUGUGUUUGUGUGUCCGUGACAGACGGAGGGAGAAAACGAAAGGAAGAGACAGGCGCGCGAGAAGGAAGGGAGGUGAGGUCCUGGAGGGUGGGGGGGCCA